AAGGAGGAGAAACAACUAUGAAGAAAAAGUUCAUUGGAAAAUGACGCCUUAGAGGGUGACAGCCCCGUAUCUUUUUGUUACUUUUCUCCUCCAAAGAGUCGAGUUGUUU
rnacentral:rRNA from 1 species